GACGAACGCUGGCGGCGUGCUUAACACAUGCAAGUCGAACGGAAAGGCCCUGCUUUUGUGGGGUGCUCGAGUGGCGAACGGGUGAGUAACACGUGAGUAACCUGCCCUUGACUUUGGGAUAACUUCAGGAAACUGGGGCUAAUACCGGAUAGGAGCUCCUGCUGCAUGGUGGGGGUUGGAAAGUUUCGGCGGUUGGGGAUGGACUCGCGGCUUAUCAGCUUGUGGGUGGGGUAGUGGCUUACCAAGGCUUUGACGGGUAGCCGGCCUGAGAGGGUGACCGGCCACAUUGGGACUGAGAUACGGCCCAGACUCCUACGGGAGGCGGCAGUGGGGAAUAUUGCACAAUGGGCGGAAGCCUGAUGCAGCAACGCCGCGUGCGGGAUGACGGCCUUCGGGUUGUAAACCGUUUUCGCCUGUGACGAAGCGUGAGUGACGGUAAUGGGUAAAGAAGCACCGGCUAACUACGUG
rnacentral:rRNA from 1 species